GCUGAAGGUGGCCAUUUGGCCGGGCCAGGGGCUGCAACACAGGACAUGGGUCAUGCCUCUGCCCACCGCUCGUGUCUUGUGUUGCAGCCAGUGGAGCUGCCUGUCUUC
rnacentral:pre_miRNA from 13 species